rnacentral:sRNA from 1 species
AAAAACAAAUACGUUGUACCGUAGACAGUAGGUGCUUAAAGGCUUAAUAAUUCCUACCGAGGUGUCUGAAUAAAGAUGGUAUUGUGCUACAAUAUCAAUCUAACCCAUUCAAACAAAACCUUCAUGUCUACACGGCAUGGAGGUUUUUUAGGUAUAGG